CACCUGUUUUAUUAUCAUUGUAGGUAUGAACGAAGAUGUGGUUUACCCACCAGCUUUGAUUAUAUCUAUUGCUAUGCACAUUGGGUUAUGCCACUGGGUCUCUCUUUCGUAGUGCUAACUUGGACUGAUAUACCGAGAUCCAGGUUGGAUCUUUUUGGAUGUUCAUGUGGAGGAAUGGUCAAUUUGGGGAACGAUGUUCACUUCACUAAUGGACAUGGAAAGGAGACAUGGUUUUGGCUGGUUGUUGAGAAAAUGCCGGAAACGAAGGAAGGUUUUGAAGCAUUUUUGUUUUGUUUUUUGCUCUUUUGGGUUGUAUGAUUGAGUUAUCCGUAUUUGUAGAGGAUGUUUUUACUUCGUUUAAGUUAAAAUUAUGAGAUUUAGUAGUUGAAUGUUUUGAACAACUCUUUAUAUGUAUACACAGUUGUCAACAACUAUUAUAUAGUUUUUUUUGUAAA